rnacentral:rRNA from 1 species
UACGAAGGGGGCUAGCGUUGUUCGGAGUUACUGGGCGUAAAGGGCGCGUAGGCGGCGCAUCAAGUCAGGCGUGAAAGCCCUCGGCUCAACCGAGGAAGUGCAUCCGAAACUGCAGAACUUGAGUAGUGAAGAGGGUCUCGGAAUUCCCGGUGUAGAGGUGAAAUUCGUAGAUAUCGGGAGGAACACCAGUGGCGAAGGCGGAGACCUGGGCACAUACUGACGCUGAGGUGCGAAAGCGUGGGGAGCAAACAGG